rnacentral:rRNA from 1 species
UACGUAGGUGGCAAGCGUUAUCCGGAAUUAUUGGGCGUAAAGCGCGCGCAGGCGGUUUCUUAAGUCUGAUGUGAAAGCCCACGGCUUAACCGUGGAAGGUCAUUGGAAACUGGGAGACUUGAGUGCAGAAGAGAAGAGCGGAAUUCCACGUGUAGCGGUGAAAUGCGUAGAGAUGUGGAGGAACACCAGUGGCGAAGGCGGCUCUUUGGUCUGUAACUGACGCUGAGGCGCGAAAGCGUGGGGAUCAAACAGG